rnacentral:rRNA from 1 species
AUCGAUGAUACGCGAGGAACCUACCCGGGCUCGAACGGCAGAGGAACAAUCCAGAGAUGGUGCGGCCCUUCGGGGCUUCUGUCGAGGUGCUGCAUGGUGUCGUCAGCUCGUGCCGUGAGGUGUCGGCUUAAGUGCCAUAACGAGCGCAACCCUUGCCAUUAGUUACCAGCAUGUAGUGAUGGGGACUCUAGUGGGACUGCCACCGCAAGGUGAGAGGAAGGGGGGGAUGACGUCAAAUCAGCACGGCCCUUACGUCCGGGGCGACACACGUGUUACAAUGGGAGUUACAGAGGGGCACUACCUGGUGACAGGAUGGGAAUCUCGAAAAGCUCUCUCAGUCCGGAUCGGAGUCUGCAACCCGACUCCGUGAAGCUGGAUUCGCUAGUAAUCGCGCAUCAGCCAUGGCGCGGUGAAUACGUUCCCGGGCCUUGUACACACCGCCCGUCAAGCCAUGAAAGUCUGGGGCGCCUGAAGUUCGUGACCGCAAGGAGCGACCUAGGGCGAAACAGGUAAUGGGGCUAAGUCGUAACAAGGUAACCUA